rnacentral:rRNA from 1 species
AGUGAACGCUGGCGGUAGGCCUAACACAUGCAAGUCGAACGGCAGCACAGUAAGAGCUUGCUCUUACGGGUGGCGAGUGGCGGACGGGUGAGGAAUACAUCGGAAUCUACUUUUUCGUGGGGGAUAACGUAGGGAAACUUACGCUAAUACCGCAUACGACCUACGGGUGAAAGCAGGGGAUCUUCGGACCUUGCGCGAUUGAAUGCGCCGAUGUCGGAGUAGCUAGUUGGCGGGGUAAAGGCCCACCAAGGCGACGAUCCGUAGCUGGUCUGAGAGGAUGAUCAGCCACACUGGAACUGAGACACGGUCCAGACUCCUACGGGAGGCAGCAGUGGGGAAUAUUGGACAAUGGGCGCAAGCCUGAUCCAGCCAUACCGCGUGGGUGAAGAAGGCCUUCGGGUUGUAAAGCCCUUUUGUUGGGAAAGAAAAGCAGCAGGUUAAUACCCCGCUGUUCUGACGGUACCCAAAGAAUAAGCACCGGCUAACUUCGUG